UACGUAGGGUGCAAGCGUUGUCCGGAAUUAUUGGGCGUAAAGAGCUCGUAGGCGGUCUGUCGCGUCGGCUGUGAAAACCCGCGGCUCAACCUCGGGCCUGCAGUCGAUACGGGCAGACUAGAGUGCGGUAGGGGAGACUGGAAUUCCUGGUGUAGCGGUGAAAUGCGCAGAUAUCAGGAGGAACACCGGUGGCGAAGGCGGGUCUCUGGGCCGUAACUGACGCUGAGGAGCGAAAGCGUGGGGAGCGAACAGG
rnacentral:rRNA from 1 species